rnacentral:lncRNA from 1 species
CUGCACAGCCCUGCCUGCUCCACACCCCAGAUCUGCGUCCUGGGCAAGUCUCCUACCCUGUCGGUGCCUUGGCUUCCUCUCACAGGGGACGGGGGAAUAGGCUGGGCAGCGCUCAGCAAAGGCUAGCGGUGAAGAGGACGGGAGGAAUAAGGAGGAGACUGACAUGAUGAGAGAUGGCAGUGACAGAGCGCUGAAGGAGAAGGGGCGGGCGGUCCAGAAGGUGACAAGGGAGACGUGCCCUGGGGCUCCCACUCGACUGUGACCUGGCCUCACGUGCGGCAGUGGCCCGUCCUGCGUCCUCUUCACCCCCAUGUCCAGCAUCUUCUUGCCAGCCCAGCCAGACGAGAGCUGGUAUUGCAGACUGGAGCCUGGGUGCAAAUCUGGGCAGUGAAUGAAUGGGCUACUCUCCCCUCGGAGUGCGAGCCAGAGUGGGGAUGAAGAAGACCUGGCGACCUUGUGCAGACCCAUUGUCCAGAUGAGGCAGAGAGCACUGGCUGCUCCUGUGCUCUCUUUACAGGCAAGCAAACCCAAGCACACAGGGAACCUGGCCCAGGCUGCGUAAUGGUAAGGGGCCCACAGGAACUCAACCGGGGAACCCUGGCUCCCAAAGAAGAGGCAGGCUUUUCUCUAACACCUGGAAGGACAGAAGAGGAAAAAAAAGCCAUCACUACUGAGCAUCUACUGUGUGCACAAGGCGGUGCACAGGACACUCACUGUGGCUCUGGACUCUACAUGAGAGUUCCAGGUGAUUUCAACAAAAGCCACACAAGUCUAUGGAGUGCUGCUUCGCUUUCUUGUCACAGCCCAGGGACACAUGUACCAGCAGUGGGCCUGGG